UACGUAGGGAGCAAGCGUUGUCCGGAAUCAUUGGGCGUAAAGCGCGCGUAGGUGGCCUCAUAAGUCCGCUGUGAAAGUCAAAGGCUCAACCUUUGAAAGCCGGUGGAUACUGUGGGGCUAGAGUACGGAAGAGGCGAGUGGAAUUCCUGGUGUAGCGGUGGAAUGCGCAGAUAUCAGGAGGAACACCAAUAGCGAAGGCAGCUCGCUGGGACGUUACUGACACUGAGGCGCGAAAGCGUGGGGAGCGAACAGGA
rnacentral:rRNA from 1 species